rnacentral:rRNA from 1 species
AUUGAACGCUGGCGGCAUGCCUUACACAUGCAAGUCGAACGGCAGCACGGGUGCUUGCACCUGGUGGCGAGUGGCGAACGGGUGAGUAAUACAUCGGAACGUACCUUCUCGUGGGGGAGAACGCAGCGAAAGCUGUGCUAAUACCGCAUACGCCCUGAGGGGGAAAGCGGGGGAACGAAAGACCUCGCGCGAUUAGAGCGGCCGAUGCCUGCUUAGCUUGUUGGUGGGGUAAACGCCCACAAAGGCGACGAUCAGUAGCUGGUCUGAGAGGACGAUACGCCAGCCUGGGACUGAGACACGGCCUAGACUCCUACGGGAGGCAGCAGUGGGGAAUUUUGGAGAAUGGGGGCAACCCUGAUCCAGCAAUGCCCCGGGAGUGAAGAAGGCCUUCGGGUUGUAAAGCUCUUUUGUCCGGGAAGAAACACCGGCUCUAACACAGUCCGGGAUGACGGUACCUGAAGAAUAAGCACCGGCUAACUACGUGCCAGCAGCCGCCGUAA